CUGUGGCUCUACACUACAUCCCCAGCACAGAAUAGAUGACAACAGAUGACAAUAGACAUUGCUUCAUACAUCAAAUGUUUGAACUGAUCUUUAGGCUUCUUAUACCACGAUACACUGCGCGGUGCAACACAGAUGAACGGUGAAAUGGAGCAUCUGUCAACUUCAGACACCCAGCUGGAACUUCAGGUGGAAACUAGUCAUGAACUGGUUGACUCCUAUACGAGCGUCAUCUAUGAGGUCAAAGAGCAUUGUACACCAUAUGAUCAACAGUGUGAAGGAGUUCAUUAGCUCUGAGCCCCUGGCCCAGCUCUAUGCUCUGGGAGAAGGCUCAGCGCUGAUGUAUGAGUCACCAGAGCAGCAGCAGAAGCGCCAGGAGUAAGUGCUUCACAAACGGAGAAAUCACUGGAGAACCCUCCACCUUAACCUGCCCCCAAUCUUCUGCCUCCACCUGUACUCUGGAGGACACA